rnacentral:rRNA from 1 species
GUUGCAGUUAAAAAGCUCGUAGUUGAAGUUCUGGUUGUAAUGGGCCUCUGCUCUUGUAGCGAAGGAACCAGCAACCAUCCGCUUGCAAGUACAUGUCCUUCCUUAACCGGUAGGCUGUAUGAGUAAGUACUUUACCUUGAGAAAAACAGAGUGUUCCAGGCAGGUUUGUCCGGAAUGCGUUAGCAUGGAAUAAUAGAAUAUGACUGAAGUCGAUUUAUUGGUUAAAGGCUUUAGUAAUGAUUAAUAGGAACAAUCGGGGGCAUUGGUACUUGUCAGUCAGAGGUGAAAUUCUAGGAUUUGACAAAGACUAACUAAUGCGAAAGCAUUUGCCAAGGAUGUUUUCAUUAAUCAAGAACGAAAGUUAGGGGAUCAAAGACGAUCAGAUACCGUCCUAGUCUUAACUAUAAACUAUACCGACUCGGAUUCAGAUGAAUUUUAAAGUUCAUUUGGGACCGUAGGAGAAAUCAAAGUCUUUGGGUUCUGGGGGAAGUAUGGUCGCAAGGCUGAAACUUAAAGGAAUUGACGGUUUUGCACCACCAUGGAGUGGAGCCUGCGGCUUAAUUUGACUCAACACUGGGAAACUCAUCAGGGCAAGAAGAUUUUAGGAUUGACAGAUUGAGAGUUCUUUCUUGAUUGGUCUAGUGGUGGUGCAUGGCCGUUCUUAGUUGGUGGAGUGAUUUGUCUGGUUAAUUCCGUUAACGAACGAGACCUUAACCUGCUAACUAGUACGUGGAUGUAUAAUCUGCGUUACUUCUUAGAGGGACUAUGUGAUGUAAUCACAUGGAAGUUUGAGGCAAUAACAGGUCUGUGAUGCCCUUAGAUGUCCUGAGCUGCACGCGCGCUACAAUGACACAUUCAACGAGUAUUUCCUGUCCCGAAAGGGCACGGGUAAUCUUUUUAGUGUGUGUCGUGACAGGGAUAGAUCUUUGUAAUUAUGGAUCUUGAACGAGGAAUUCCUAGUAAGCGCAAGUCAUCAGCAUGUGCUGAUUACGUCCCUGCAAAAUGUACACACCGCCCGUCGCUAUUACCGAUUGGGUGUAGAGGUGAACCUUCUCGAUAGCCGCAAGGCUAGAAAUUAAGUAAACCUUUGCACCUAGAGGAAAUAAAAGUCGUAACAAGGUUUCCGUAGGUGAACCUGCGGAAG